rnacentral:rRNA from 1 species
UAGGGAAUCUUCGGCAAUGGACGAAAGUCUGACCGAGCAACGCCGCGUGAGUGAAGAAGGUUUUCGGAUCGUAAAACUCUGUUGUUAGAGAAGAACAAGGACGUUAGUAACUGAACGUCCCCUGACGGUAUCUAACCAGAAAGUCACGGCUAACUACGUGCCAGCAGCCGCGGUAAUACGUAGGUGGCAAGCGUUGUCCGGAUUUAUUGGGCGUAAAGCGAGCGCAGGCGGUUUCUUAAGUCUGAUGUGAAAGCCCCCGGCUCAACCGGGGAGGGUCAUUGGAAACUGGGAGACUUGAGUGCAGAAGAGGAGAGUGGAAUUCCAUGUGUAGCGGUGAAAUGCGUAGAUAUAUGGAGGAACACCAGUGGCGAAGGCGGCUCUCUGGUCUGUAACUGACGCUGAGGCUCGAAAGCGUGGGGAGCAAACAGG